GUGAAGCCUCAUUAACCUGCAGCAGCCAAUCAGACGCUGAGAGGAGAGUGAGGGUCUGUGGGGAAUCUGGUGGGAGUGUGCCUCCUCGUUCAACACCAUAUGACUCAGCUGCUUUCUACAGAAGAAGACGCCACACACAGAGGACGUGGGUGAAUGUUUUAAUCACAGAAACAGGAAGUGGCCGAGCGCGGCGGCUCCUCACUUCCUCAGAUUAACAGAAGAAAUCUUCUGCUCCUGCUGAGUAAUUGGGAUCAUGAUGACAUUUUAUAAAACCAUCAGCACUUGGACAAAACCAAUAAAGCAGAGUGAACACAGCGUCUCCGGCCUCCAAUCCGCCGCCACUGGUCUAUUUUUGGAGGGAAAAAAAGGAAAAGAAAUGAUGAUUAAUGUUAUUGGAUUAUUUACAUUGCCCUCAACAUGAUUGAGCUGCAGAAAUGAAAUUAAAAUGUGUGUUGAAUGGGAUUUUCCAGGAAAGUCCUGUAAAAACCACGACGGUAAUAAGGAAUGACUAAUUCUCCCAAAGUCGAUUAAACACCAUCUCAUCCAGCGGGAAAAUACAGCAGAGCGGAGAACAAAUAAGAUCGGGAUUAGACAACUGUGGCUACAUUAAGAGGCAGAUUAAAGCCUUUUAUCUAUUAUUUUCAUUAUUCUUCAGCGUGUUCUUGUUCUGGAGGAUUAACUCUGAUGGUUAGUCCAGAAAACAAGCCAUUAACCACGGAAGGAUCAGAUCUGAGCAAAUAAACCUGCAGAGACACUGAAGCAGCAUUUCCUCUCCAAAGCUGAAAUCACAUCACGCUUGACUUUCAGUCACAUCUUCAGUCUGAGACUCAUCAAGAGAAAUAAAGAGAAAUGA